GAUGAAGAACGUAGCGAAAUGCGAUAAGUAAUGUGAAUUACAGAAUUCAGUGAAUCAUCGAAUCUUUGAACGCACAUUGCGCCCGGUAGUAUUCUGCCGGGCAUGCCUGUUCGAGCGUCAUUUCAACCAUCAAGCCCCAGCGCUUGUGUUGGGGGCCUGCGGCUGCCGCAGCCCCCUAAAAGCAGUGGUGGGCUCGCUAUCACACCGAGUGCAGUAGUUCAUCUUCUCUCCGGUCUUGUGAGGCGGGUUCCGGCCGUGAAACACCCCACUACAUUCAAGGUUGACCUCGGAUCAGGUAGGAAUACCCGCUGAACUUAAGCAUAUCAAUAAGCGGAGGA
rnacentral:misc_RNA from 1 species